UUGACUUGUGUGCAAUUUGACUAUUCUAUCGAGUACCUGCUACCUCCCAGCACAGUAACAUCAUGGAUGAUUAUUAAACUGGCAAUGAACCUGUGUUAGCUUUAUUACUAAUUAUCUUCUGGUGUUAAUAGUUCAUUACAGAUACACUCAAAUCUCCUAAAAUUAUGCAUGAAUUUCAGCUAACAAAAAAGCAACAAACUCACCUUUUUGUUCAAACUUGUGAUUAAAAUUCCAAACAAAACAUAUUGGACCCCAUACAGUGGGAUGAUUACAUUUAUAAAGUCACCAGUGUAUUAAUAAGCUUAAAAAUCGGAUCCAACUUAAGUGACAAUUUAUUUUAGCAUAGUAAACAAUUAAAAGUGGACGAAUCAAAUAUUAUAUAGUAACAGGAAAAAAAGGAGUUGUUUUGGCAAUUUUACUUAUACCUACCAAAAGCAAAGUCAUCACUACUAUUUUACAACUCUGCUCAGUGCUCACUCACUUCCCACUGCUAACACGUUCAUUUCAAAUCUACAACAAUGGCCACAUCCAUCAAAAUCACCACAACCAUUGUCACCACAGUUGUCAUUCUCUCACUAUUCUCCUCCCUGAUUCCAUCCACCAAAGCACAAGACUCGCCACCGGCACCAGCAGCUCCGGCACCGAGCCCCGGAGUUGAUUGCCUUAGAGUCUUAGUAAACAUGUCCGAUUGCUUAACAUUUGUAGAAAGAGGAAGCAAUUCGACUACUCCGGGUAAAGGAUGCUGCCCGGAAAUUGCUGGAUUGUUAGAUAGUAACCCUAUUUGCUUGUGCCAAAUGCUUGGCCGAGCUCACUCCGGUGCUAAAAUUGGGUUCAACAUUGAUGUCGAUAAGGCACUUAAACUUCCUUCUGCUUGUAGUUUGGAGUUUCCACCAGCUAGCACUUGCUCAGGUACCGGUUUACUCUCUGUUUCUUACAUUCAAUUUGGGGAACUGUGGAUUUGUGAAGGGAAAAUUGGGAGAUCUACUUUUUAGCUUGGAUUUGCCCUUAACUAGCACGAUCCCGUAAUUUAGGUCGUGACAAUUAGUAUUAGAGUUCAGAUUACCGGUUUCGCAAGCACAAGAGCAAAUAUAAUCCUGUUGUAGAAUGGUAGGGAUAGGGGCUAAGAAGGUCGGGAAUAAACACAAAGAAUAUCACUUGAUACUUGUUUUCUC
rnacentral:lncRNA from 1 species